GAGAGAACGUUGCGUCAGCAACGGCCCGCAGGGCGAGCCACGCAGUGGCGAGUCAUCCUCUAUCACCGACCA
rnacentral:sRNA from 5 species